rnacentral:rRNA from 1 species
GAUGAACGCUGGCGGCGUGCCUAAUACAUGCAAGUCGAGCGAACAGACGAGAAGCUUGCUCCUCUGACGUUAGCGGCGGACGGGUGAGUAACACGUGGAUAACCUACCUAUAAGACUGGGAUAACUUCGGGAAACCGGAGCUAAUACCGGAUAAUAUAUUGAACCGCAUGGUUCAAAAGUGAAAGACGGUCUUGCUGUCACUUAUAGAUGGAUCCGCGCUGCAUUAGCUAGUUGGUAAGGUAACGGCUUACCAAGGCAACGAUGCAUAGCCGACCUGAGAGGGUGAUCGGCCACACUGGAACUGAGACACGGUCCAGACUCCUACGGGAGGCAGCAGUAGGGAAUCUUCCGCAAUGGGCGAAAGCCUGACGGAGCAACGCCGCGUGAGUGAUGAAGGUCUUCGGAUCGUAAAACUCUGUUAUUAGGGAAGAACAUAUGUGUAAGUAACUGUGCACAUCUUGACGGUACCUAAUCAGAAAGCCACGGCUAACUACGUG